GACGAACGCUGGCGGCGCGCUUAACACAUGCAAGUCGAACGGAAAGGCCUGCUUUCCCUUGUGGAUUGCGGGUACUCGAGUGGCGAACGGGUGAGUAACACGUGAGUGAUCUGCCCCCAACUUGGGUAUAAGCCUGGGAAACUGGGUCUAAUUCCCGAUAGGACUGCAGGGUGGUGCCUGUGGUGGAAAACGAUUUUCUAGUGGUUGGGGAUGAGCUCGCGGCCUAUCAGCUUGUUGGUGGGGUAAUGGCCUACCAAGGCGGCGACGGGUAGCCGGCCUGAGAGGGUGGACGGCCACAUUGGGACUGAGAUACGGCCCAGACUCCUACGGGAGGCAGCAGUGGGGAAUAUUGCACAAUGGGCGGAAGCCUGAUGCAGCGACGCCGCGUGGGGGAUGACGGCCUUCGGGUUGUAAACUCCUUUCGACCGCGAGGAAGCCACCUGGUUGGAAGGGUGGUGACGGUAGUGGUAGAAGAAGCACCGGCUAACUACGCG
rnacentral:rRNA from 1 species